UACGUAGGGUGCGAGCGUUAAUCGGAAUUACUGGGCGUAAAGCGUGCGCAGGCGGUUUUGUAAGCCAGAUGUGAAAUCCCCGGGCUUAACCUGGGAAUGGCAUUUGGGACUGCAAGGCUUGAGUGCGGGCAGAGGAGACUGGAAUUCCUGGUGUAGCAGUGAAAUGCGUAGAUAUCAGGAGGAACACCGAUGGCGAAGGCAGGUCUCUGGGCUGACACUGACGCUCAUGCACGAAAGCGUGGGGAGCAAACAGG
rnacentral:rRNA from 1 species